rnacentral:rRNA from 1 species
UAUGCCCUACGGGAGGCAGCAGUGAGGAAUAUUGGUCAAUGGGCUUACGCCUGAACCAGCCAAGUCGCGUGAGGGAAGACUGCCCUAUGGGUUGUAAACCUCUUUUGUCAGGGAGCAAUUGGCGCUACGUGUAGCGUUAUCGAGAGUACCUGAAGAAAAAGCAUCGGCUAACUACGUGCCAGCAGCCGCGGUAAUACGUAGGUGGCAAGCGUUGUCCGGAUUUACUGGGUGUAAAGGGCGUGCAGCCGGGACGACAAGUCAGAUGUGAAAUCCCGCGGCUCAACCGCGGAACUGCAUUUGAAACU